rnacentral:misc_RNA from 1 species
AAGGCCGACAAGAUGGCUUGGGUUUGGGGUCGU